GAUGAACGCUGGCGGCGUGCCUAACACAUGCAAGUCGAGCGAUCUUCUUCGGAAGAGAGCGGCGGACGGGUGAGUAACGCGUGGGUAACCUGCCCUGUACACACGGAUAACAUACCGAAAGGUAUGCUAAUACGGGAUGAUAUAUGAAAGUCGCAUGGUUUUCAUAUCAAAGCUCCGGCGGUACAGGAUGGACCCGCGUCUGAUUAGCUAGUUGGUAAGGUAACGGCUUACCAAGGCGACGAUCAGUAGCCGACCUGAGAGGGUGAUCGGCCACACUGGAACUGAGACACGGUCCAGACUCCUACGGGAGGCAGCAGUGGGGAAUAUUGCACAAUGGGCGAAAGCCUGAUGCAGCAACGCCGCGUGAGCGAUGAAGGCCUUCGGGUCGUAAAGCUCUGUCCUCAAGGAAGAUAAUGACGGUACUUGAGGAGGAAGCCCCGGCUAACUACGUGCCAGCAGCCGCGGUAAUACGUAGGGGGCUAGCGUUAUCCGGAAUUACUGGGCGUAAAGGGUGCGUAGGCGGUCUUUCAAGCCAGAAGUGAAAGGCUACGGCUCAACCGUAGUAAGCUUUUGGAACUGUAGGACUUGAGUGCAGGAGAGGAGAGUAGAAUUCCUAGUGUAGCGGUGAAAUGCGUAGAUAUUAGGAGGAAUACCAGUAGCGAAGGCGGCUCUCUGGACUGUAACUGACGCUGAGGCACGAAAGCGUGGGGAGCAAACAGG
rnacentral:rRNA from 1 species